rnacentral:misc_RNA from 1 species
UCUCCCGUGAGGGAGCAGUCUCGCCUGACACUUGUAACAGGCAACGAGGGUUGCGUUCGUUUCCCCACUUAAGGGAACAGCUCAAGCCACGAACUGACGACGGCCAUGCAUCACCUGUUCUACACCCUCGAAGGCUUCUCCCCUUUCAGGGAGCGUGCAGUAGAAUUUCUAGCCUCGGUAAGGUUCCUCGCUUAGUGACGAAUUAAGCCCCAUGAUCCACCGCUUGUGCGAGCCCCCGUCUAUUCCUUUGAGUUUUAAUCUUGCGAUCGUACUACCCAGGCGGUCUGCUUAACGUGUUAACUUGCGCCACGAAGAGGGUCGAUACUCCUCAUAGCUAGCAGACAGCGUUUAGGGCGUGGACUAC